rnacentral:rRNA from 1 species
GACGUAGGUGGCGAACGUUAUCCGGAAUUAUUGGGCGUAAAGGGUGCGUAGGCGGCAUGAUAAGUUAUUGGCGGCAAAUCGAGGCUCAACCUCGUGGAAACUAAUAAUACUGUCUUGCUUGAGUGCAGAAGAGGUUAACGGAACUCCAUGUGGAGCGGUAAAAUGUGUAGAUAUAUGGAAGAACAUCAAUAACGGCGAAGGCAGUUAACUAUUCUGUUACUGACGUUGAGGCACGAAAGCGUGGGGAGCAAAAAGG